rnacentral:lncRNA from 1 species
AUGUUUAGUCAAGAGUUUGAUUUGGAUUGUGGCACAAUGAUGAGUUUCUUAAACGUUGUCAUUAAUCUCUCCACACUUGUUUGUGCUCUUUCUCCCUUCAGGCUCUGGUUUCCCAGGAGCUCAGGGCCCUCCCUGAGCCUGUCCGAUCCCUGCUGCUGUAAGGAAAGGCCCACACAGAAUAAUUCACAAAAGUCCAGCCAUUUAAGACAAGCCUGUUUCCCCUUCGCCUUCCGCCUUCCAUCAUGAUUGUAAGUUUCCUGAGGCCUCCCCAGAAACUGAGCAGAAGCCACUAUACUUCCUAUACAGCCUGCAGAACUGUAAGCCAAUUAAACCUCUUUUCUUUGUAAAUUAGCCAGUCUUAGGCAUUUCUUUAUAGCUGUGUGAGAAAAAACUAAUACAAAACUUAAUCUGCAAAGCAAAAGUAUUAAAUGGAUGAAUACAACCACACAACAUUCAAAGUGCCAUUUAAAACCCAAGUCUGAUUUUGCUACAUCUCUGCUCAAAAUGGCUCCUUAUUUCAUCUGAGUAAAAACCAGAGUCGUCACAGGCCCUACCUGAUCUCCCUGUAACCUCUUUGAUGUCACCUACUUUCCUCUCUGUUCCAGUGGCACUGGCCUCCUUGCU